UGGCUAAACUGAAAUCUUUUGACACCUACUAAGUACAGUAUAUGUUAAACACUCUGAAAGUAUUUAUAUUUUAAAACGGAGACAUUACUACUAACCUCUGCGUGGUUUCCUAUACUAACCUCUACCAUGAUCUCUACUGACCUCUGCGUGAUUUCUUAACAUGAUGUACUGGAAAAUAAUAUGUCAAUUCAAGAAAAACGAAAAAAAUGACAAAAGAAUUGUUAUUUCGUUGAAGCAGUCAUGGAACUAUAUUCCGAACCACAAGGCAGUGCCCGUAGAAGAUCCGGAUGUCAGAGUCAGAGUCAGAGUCAGGUUGAGCGUGUGGCUCUAUGCAUUGUCAUUUGUCACUUUUCGUCAGUAUACGCCGAGUCUCCGAUCAAUUAUGACACUCAAAUUCAUCUCAAAUAUCAGCAUUUUUAUAAAUCAGCAUUUUCAUAAACCUUUGGAGUAAACCGUAUUCUCUCCGAAUCAUUCGUGUUCAAUGCUUAUCCCAAAAUUAACCAGCUGAUAUAUAGAAAUAGACAUAGCUUAAGUGGUUACCUUUCCUGUUGUGUAAACUACC
rnacentral:lncRNA from 1 species